UCCGUCCCCAUCUCGGUCCCCGCCCCGCCUCGCCCCUCUCUGCUGCGCUCUCCGGUCGGCUCGUCUCCGCCUCGCCCCGUCUCCCUCUGUCUCUCUGUCCAGGCCGUCGUCUCCUCUCCCUGCCUCCGUCUCGUUCGGUGUCGGCUGGUCCAGGACUCCUCCGCCCAUGGUCACCCUCCUCAGUAAAGAUAAGGAGGAAGAGGUGAAAGUUUACCAUCAGCUGGCCCCCCGAGGGAUCUUUAACCCGGGCCCAGAAGGCAAACUAUCUUUGAAGAUCCAACCAAUCCUCACACCCCCACCCUGGUCGCUGGGUUUCCUGAUGGCCCAGAGAGCCGGCAGGAGCCUCACAAAGCCAGCAGGCAGGUAAAGAAAAGGUGGAUUCUAGGAGGCUCACAUCCUUUUUUCCAGGGCACCCACUGCGGAUGGGCCCACGGACCUGCCUACCCUGCGGGAGAAGUGAGACAGGUUCAGUGCACAAGGACACCCCCAAGAGGGGGGGGGGCUCUCACCAAUCUAGGGGUGUUUGUGGGUUGCCACCGUGACCGGAGAGGGGGAUGCGGUCCCAGAUGGCGACAUCCAGCGACUCAUGGGGUGGUCCCACACAAUGCAGAAUUGUCCCACGUCCUGCCUCACUUGGAAACCUCCUGCUGGAGGGGCGCCUGGGUGGCUUGGUCGGUUAAGCGGCUGACUCUUUGAUCUCAGCUCAGGUCAUGAUCUCACGUUUCGUGAGUUCGAGCC